UACUGAAGGAACUACUGAGGGAACUACUGAGGGAACUACUGAGGGAACAAGUAAUCGAUAACAAGUCAAAUGUUGUUUAGCAGACGCAAGUUAAUUGUACUUAAAAACAGUUACAUAUAUAAAGAAAAUAUAAAGAUAUGAAGGGUCAAAAAGAAACUUGCGUCUAAUUAAAUUUUUUAAUUAUGUAUUCCAAACUGCUUCUACAACAAAGUAAUACUCAUUUCAAUGAGAUUUGAGCUAAUUACAUGUGAUUUGUCUCCGUCCUACAGAGGGCGCAGUGCCAGCAUUGAUAGGGAAGCCGAUGGUUCAGGCAAAGGUCAAAGGGCAAAGCAAAUAAAGAAACCACCAGAACAUCUAACGCGUUUGGUUUUCUGUCACUCUAUCAGUACUCAAGAGAGAAGAAACAAUCCUGAAUAAAUGAGGAAUGAAGAAUCCCUUGAGGCUCUGAUGAUGAACAGACAUGGACCACCCACCCCGUCCUACAGAUGGUCUGCACAUGAAGAGCGUGACGGGUCCGUAUGCCAACACAACAAAAGAGUUCCGGACUGGCUGUGUAGCAUCACCAUGGAGACGACUCUUGGCUUCAGCCCGAGGACCAUGGAACAAUGUCAAUGAUGACAUUCCUCUGAAAACAUUAUUUGAAGGACUUGGGAAAAUCCAUGUGGGGUUUCUGAAAAGAGCAGGAAGGACCUAAACAGACAGUAUAUGUCUGAUAUGACAAUAUGGACAAAUGGAUUCAUUAGACAGACAUUGGCAGUAUAAGUAAGGGCAUGAGGCUGGCAGUGCUGGAGAAAAUCCCAGCCAUCAAUUGGAUACAUAAGAGGACAUCGACAAAAGCAGCAUUGCUUCUCCUUGCUGUUUAGCCCACGGAGGUGCUGGUACAUUGUCUCCCUCUUCACUGGGUUAAGUUGCCAUAAUGGACGUCUACAGACUUCCCACAACAACCCGGUCACUUGUAUACAUGGUGUUUAUAUAUUUAAUGUAAUAAUUGUUCUCAUAUUUAUUCUCUUACUGUAAGCAGCUGAAUUUGUAUGUGUUUUGUGCUCAUCAGGGACCAGAUCGUGGAGUGUGACUGUUGCGCAUAUGACCAUAAACUCUCUUGAAUCUCUUGAA